AUGUCCGGAUCAGCAGCAGCAAGCGGAGGAGACCUCGGCGGCGGCCAGAUCUACGGCGACCACGUCUUCUUCCAGAGUCAAUCAGCAUGCGGCGGUGGCGACGGUGGUGGUGUCAUCCCGUCGACCUACUCCAGCAUCACCGACUACCUGCACGGGCUCCUCGACCCCGCGGAGCUCGCCAAGCACCUGGACGUACCUCCGUGCUACCCGACGAUGAGAGACGCGAUCGGCGCGGUAGCGACUCCGGUCACGCCCAACUCGUCGACGUCCGGCGAGGCGGCGGGGGCCGAGUCCCACGGGUGCAAGAGAGGCAGUCCAUCGCCGGAGGAGGGAGACGAGGAUAGAUCGGCCGAUCAUGGCAGCUGCAGGAGCGAGAAGAAGAAGACGAAGGAGGGGAAGAGGGAGAAGAAGCCGCGUGGCUCCCGUGUGGCAUUCGCAACCAAGAGUGAGGUCGACCACCUCGACGACGGCUACCGCUGGCGCAAGUACGGCCAGAAGGCAGUCAAGAACAGCUCCUUCCCAAGGAGCUACUACCGGUGCACGGCGGCGCAGUGCGGGGUGAAGAAGCUGGUGGAGCGGUCACAGCAGGACCCGUCCACGGUCGUCACCACCUACGAGGGUCGCCACGCGCAUCCGAGCCCCGUCGCCGCCCACUGUGGCUCGCGCAUGCUGAUGGGCACUGGUGUCGACACCGUCUACUCGCUCGACGUGCUCCAGCAUCAACAUCGUGGCUUUUUCCCGGCCGGUACCGACGUCUAUGGGCGCAUGUGCGCACCGCCCAGUACCGCCGCCUCGGUGGUGGCACACCGGUCGUCGGAGUACGGUGGCAUGCAGGCGCAGGCCGGUCUUCUUCCCGAUGCCGUGAUGAGCUAUGAGCAUGUGCAUCCUUAA
rnacentral:rRNA from 1 species